rnacentral:rRNA from 1 species
AGCGAACGCUGGCGGCAGGCCUAACACAUGCAAGUCGAACGGUCCUUCGGGAUAGUGGCGGACGGGUGAGUAACACGUGGGAACGUACCCUUAGGUUUGGAACAACACAGGGAAACUUGUGCUAAUACCGGAUAAGCCCUUCGGGGGAAAGAUUUAUCGCCUUUGGAGCGGCCCGCGUCUGAUUAGCUUGUUGGUGAGGUAAUGGCUCACCAAGGCUACGAUCAGUAGCUGGUCUGAGAGGAUGGCCAGCCACACUGGGACUGAGACACGGCCCAGACUCCUACGGGAGGCAGCAGUGGGGAAUCUUGCGCAAUGGGCGAAAGCCUGACGCAGCCAUGCCGCGUGGAUGAUGAAGGUCUUAGGAUUGUAAAAUCCUUUCACCGGGGACGAUAAUGACGGUACCCGGAGAAGAAGCCCCGGCUAACUUCGUGCCAGCCGCCGCCGUAA